rnacentral:snoRNA from 1 species
AGAGAUGAUGAAUUCAGCCUUGACUGAACAAUGAUGAAACCUGGCUGUCUGAUCA